CAGUAAUAACAGACAGUUUAUUUGAGAAUGCUGGUUUCUCAUUUGCUGUGGACAUGACCAUAAAAAAUUUUUCCACUAGGCUUUUCUUUCUUUAUGCUACUUUGCUAGCGUUCAGCCUAUUGGGAACAUUU